GGAGCGGUAGUUCAGAGUCGGUUAGAAUACCGGCCUGUCACGCCGGGGGUCGCGGGUUCGAGUCCCGUCCGCUCCGCCA
rnacentral:tRNA from 1 species